rnacentral:lncRNA from 1 species
UAAUGGCUUCCUCCUCUCUUCAAUCUCUUGUUGUCCGUCACCUGCAAAUCCAAAAACACACAGCAAGGGCAGUCGAUUUUAAUUUUUUUUGUCUCUGUUCUAAAAUCUGCUUCGGUUCCUUUUUUUUCUUCUUGGCAGAUCGGCUUCUGUUUUUUCUUCUUCUUGGCAGAUCGGCUUCGGUUUUCUUCUCUUCUCUUUUGGUGGCCGCCGAUGACUGGGAAGCUGCUGGUGGUUGUGGAUCUGUGACCGUCGGGUCUAUUCGGUGACCUUGUGACCGCUGCUGCCCGAUGAGACUGAGUGAAGACCAGGAGGAAAACAGCGGGGGGGGCUGCCUCUGUGUUCGGCUUGAGGAGGAGAGGAGGAGCCGCGGGGCUGGUUUGUUCGGCUGAAGAAAAACAAAAACCCAAAUCCAAGGAGGAGCCGCGGGGAUGGUUUGGGUGGGUGGAGAAGAUUAGAGGAGAAAGUGGGGGAUGCAGAGGAGGCUGCUCUGGCCGGUUGGCUGGAGAUCAGUCAAGAUGAUGGGAAUCGAACCGGCUGGGAGAGGGGAGAGGAAAAUCGGUUGUUCUGUGAGGUUCGGUGAGGAAGAGAAAGCUGGUCCGGCCGAAGGUAGAAGAGGAUCCAAAUCCCCGGGGGUGGCUGUGUGAUUUGUUUGUUUCAAGGUGAGGAAGGAGAUGGGGCUACGGUAUGGAGGCCAAGAUUUUGUGGAGGAAAAGAAAAAAAGCAGCUGGAACUGGCCGGGAGAGAGGUUAAGAAGAAACGAAAAUGGCCGGGAGGGAGAAGAGAAAAAUAAUGAGCGUGAAGGGGCUCUCUCUCGCUGUUGGCAAGGGCUGAGGAAGAAGAU